GGAAUUGUGGCUCAGUGGUAGAGCACUCGCCUAGCACAUGCGAGGCCCUGGGUUCAAACCUCAGCACUACUU
rnacentral:tRNA from 1 species